GGAUCCAUAGCUUAGGGGUUAGAGCACUGGCUUUAUAAACCAGGGGUUGUGAGUUCAAAUCUCACUGGGACCU